ensembl:lncRNA
GCCACCUCUCGCAGUGCCGACUCCUCGCUGUCCGCCUCUCAUCUGCUCUGUGCAGGAGCGACCAGGACCGAGUCCAGAGGCUCUUACUGCAGUCUGCCCCUUUCCCUGCUGAAACACGAUGUGGGGUCAUUAACAGGGCAGAAAAAGUUCAAAGUGAACAUGUGAGGUCUCCAGUGACUCUUCAAGCAAGGUUACGAGAGCAUUAGCCUUCCUGGUGGCUUAAAGUCCCUUUUCACAGCUGACUAAACAUAAAUGGCACCGGUUUAACAAAGAGACACAGAUGGCAGAACUGAUUAUAGUCCACACCGAAUGAGGAGAUUGAUUCAACAAGCGCAUCACUUCAAAGUGGAAGAUGGCUUCUACUCUGUAAAUGCACAGGAAACAUGAAGCCACGCUGAGGUCAAGUUUUGGCACUCUGCUAUGAUUGACACAAUAUAAAAGAAUAAAGGCCCAAACAAGGCAAAAGGAAAAGAAAAAAAAACACCUUAGGAAAGUGUGAGACUCAGUAAAUCAAGCUAAGAAGUAGGCAGUCUGGGUGCCUUAAGGACUGGUGCAAAGUUGCAUCUUAGACCACAAGAUGGUUAUCUACAGAUAGGCCUCCUUCUAAUAAUCAAAUGUCAUAGCCUAGUUGGGGACUAAGAAACUAUUUCCUUAAUCGAUCCUAAUUAUAGGGCCUGUAAAAAAUAAGAAUAGAGCUAGAAUGCUAAAUGGCAGAGUAAACCAGCGGAAUAGCAUAAACUACCAUUCUGAAAGUUUGUUAUUGAAAUAAUUUAGUUAAUAUGGUUAUUGCCACUGCAAAUGCCUCUCCUCUCAAUCGUGAGUCUCCAAAGAGGAAAUGAAAAACUGGAAAUUCAAACUCCCAAUUUCUUGGCAUUAGAGACUCCCUUUAUUACCAUUUUGGAUUGCACAUACUCUGACAAUUUGUGAACACAUUCUACAAGUUCUAAACUACGGUGCUUCCAUACAGAAGCACAGGCAUACAUUAUAAGUGGAGCCUGAUCAACAGAUCAACCCUGUGAGAAAUGAGUAUGGGCACCAGAGAUGGACACUGUCUCCCUGCAGAGAUGUUGCAGCACUUACACUAAGGCAUGCAGACAGGUGUGGGCUCAUUUAAAAGCGGAGGGUACAAAUGAACACGGCAGUGGGCAGAGUAGCUCAGAUGAAAAUUUCACGGUGUCCAGUGAAAACAGCCUACAGCAAGUACCCAGGGAAGAAUAAAUGAACAGCCACAACAUACUAAUAUACUUCCAAUUUAGAUCUUUACCUCAGAAACAUCAUUCUAUGAGGCUUGCUCCAAAAGUAAUGCCUCCUGUUUUAUUAUGUUGGCUCACAACAUCAGAGGCAGAUGUUGGUGGUACAGCAAGAGGUUGAACCUCCCCACCAACAUUCCAUUACAUUUUGCUGCUGUGUUACAGAUGGCAGCAGAGCAACAGUAUGACAAAAUGGCAUCAAACAUGGAAGUGCAUAUUAGACAAAAGCGUGUCAUUGAAUUCCUUCAUGCAAAAAACAGCACCCUUUGACACCCACUGAUGCUUGCUGAACAUUUAUGGGGACCAAACAGUGGAUGUGAGCACGGUCAGGAGGUGGGUGGUAUGUUUCAGCAGUGGUGACAGCGACAGUGUGUCACCCCCACUGGUGCAGACUGCUCUGAGUAUGGCAUAUAGGCUCUUGUUAUUACUGGCGAUCAUGCAAAACCAACGGUGGUGACCAUGCUGAAAAACAGUGCUUGGGGGCUGAGAAUUUGCUCUAUCAAAAAUCGCUAUGUGCUCUUUGUAUUUGUUGUAGUUUCCAUGGACAUAAAUAGGAGGCACUGUUUUGAAGCAAGGAAUCAAUACACUGUAAAAACUUAGAUUUUAAUUUCCAGAAUGAAAAUACUGGAGUUGAUUACGACAGCAUCAGAACAAUAAAAGCCUUAGUGGAGUGGUUCAAAGCAUUAGUAGAUUCUUCUCUCAGCCAAUUCACAGAAUGACUCUAGCCUUUUUAUGACUCAAUUCAAACUUAGCUAGGAAUUUGCACACAGCGAGGCUGUUUUCACCAACAGGGUGAAGGCUUUCUACAUCUCUGUUACAUCAGCCUUGAAGAGAUGACUAGCAGUGAGUAAAUUAUUAUCUUAAGGUGGGGUAGGUUUGGCAGAUUUCCUUUUGGCAAAAUAAAACUGUAUGGUAACACAGCUCUCACUUGGGUGGAGGCAUACCAGGUAGCAGUGGGAAUAGCAGGAAAUGAUGACAAAGAAUCAUACCUGGCUCACCUGUUUGCACUGCCCCAGUCAAUGGAUGCUGAAGCCUUAUGGCAGCUUACCCACUCUUCAGGGAGAUGAAGUGAGGCAAAACUAUUUAUUACUGUUAUGAUCUUCAGUGAAGAAUGGCUACAUAACAAACAGCUGGACAUGUCAUUCCCAAUAUAAAACCCAUCAAACUGAACCUUCCUCAGUUUUGAGCUCUUAGUGAUUCAGCAGCAAAAAUUCCCAGCUAAGACCGUUUUGCGAAAUGGAAUGUUUUGAAGGACAGGGCUGUCUCCUCUUCUGCAUGAUCUCACACAUACAGCUAUAACCACAAACAUCCCUUGAACUGAUUCAGCAACAUCAGCAUCAACAUAAAAUGUAUGACAAUGGCCAAAACUAGAACAAUUUCCAUUAAUUAAGAAAACAGUUCAAUGUAGAGGUUGUAAUAUUUUACAUUAUCAAUUACAUUUUAUUCUACAUGAAUUGAAUGAACCAGCUUUUUAAAAAUCAUAUGUAUAAUAAAUGAUACAUGUCAGUCACAACUUUUCAUCCAUGAUUAAAAAGACUAGUAACUUACUGUGAAUUAUAAAUCUUUUACUUUUUAACUGAUGACUACUUGUGACCAUACUACAGAAACUGUCUGUUUUGAUACUGUGCCUUCACAUAGCUACCAUAUGUCCAUUAGUCUUCAAAUUUACUCCAACUUCUCUUUUUGACAAGAGUCAAUGGAGAGCAUAUUCCUGAAUGUAUUUCAGACUCUUGUAAGGGUUAUGGCACAGUCACAGAAUGGUAAUGUGAUCAUAGCAGAUAUGCCCUAUACAUUCACUUCAAGGGCUGAAUGAACAUUAUCUACCAGAAAGCUCACCCUCAGCCAUAAUUCUACAGAAAUAAAGAGAUUGCAGUUGAAAUUCAUGCUGCCAGAGGAUUUCUAUUCUGUAUUGCCUUCCAUUUCUUCCUUAAAUGAUCAUACAUAAACUCUUUAACUCCUUUUUAAGACAGGAAUAAAUAAGACAGAGAGGAAUUAUGUUUGAACGGUUGAGGUUUGAUAACUUAGGCUCUAAAACAGAUUAUGAAGUCCAGAGAAAUACAGAAAGUGCAUUAGAGAAUAUAUAGACAGGAGAUUGUCAAAAAAGAUGAAAGAGAAGGAAUCUUUUGUCAGGUUAUCUUUGCAGUUGGAUUACUACAAGCCAGUAAAAGAAGUGGUAAAAAAUCUCUAUGUAAUAGAAUAUGUAUUUAUGGUUCCUUACCUCACAGCUUAACGUACAGUCCCAUAGCUACUACUUCAGGGGACUGAAGAAGGAGAAAUAACUUUGGUACCUAUGAAACAUUGCCUGCCUUUUUGGAGCAGCCAGCUGGAAUUGGCUAAAAUGCAGAAUGUCACAUCAAAUCUCAUACAGAUGAGAGGUUUGCUUGCUUUCCAGUAGAGAUAACAAUCGUGAUGAGCCAGCAGAACUCAGUCUGCAGCAAUAUGAAAGACAGCAUAUGAACAUUUACUAACUCUGAAUAACAGGAUGAGCCAACCUGCAACUGCACCACACCUUUGCAGGGUCAUGCAUUUAUUUAUUCACUUAUUUUUCCUUUGUAGAACAUUGUCAAGAGUGUGGCCUUUUUCUUUUUAUCUCUUCUGCAACCAACUCAUAGUCUGAGUCCUAACAACCAUGGUUUCAGAGAAUAUGGUGUGCUGGCACCAUGACAGCUUUUCUUUCUCUACAGCCUUGGAGAGCCUGAAAAUUCUCAUCAUUUUUUCAAAAACAGCUAGCUUGAGUGUGAACAAAAUCCUCCACAGAUGGGGGACAAGCUUGGGAAACAGCAGUAUGAGAGGUAAUAUUUUAUAAAGAAAAUGAUGAAUGAUUCCAAGAAAGAAAUUAGGAAGAAAUCAUCUCAGGCUUACGUGUAAAAGCACUGUGAUGUAAUGGAAAAUGUAUCGUGUUAUGGCCUCUGGUUUCAUAACAAAGGGAAAACUGUGAAGCUCAUUUCUGACAAUGUAAAAAAAUAAAACAGAAAGAGUAU